rnacentral:rRNA from 1 species
UGACCUCAAAUCAGGUAGGACUACCCGCUGAACUUAAGCAUAUAAAUAAGCGGAGGA